rnacentral:tRNA from 1 species
CACCCGAUGACUGAAAACUAAGUGUAGGUCUUUUAAACCUAUUAUGGUAGCUAACACCUACUUCUGGUGG